rnacentral:rRNA from 1 species
UACGUAGGGGGCUAGCGUUGCUCGGAAUUACUGGGCGUAAAGGGAGCGUAGGCGGGUUAUCAAGUUGGAGGUGAAAGCCCAGGGCUCAACCUUGGAAUUGCCUUCAAAACUGAUAGCCUAGAGUAUGGAAGAGGUAAGUGGAACUCCGAGUGUAGAGGUGAAAUUCGUAGAUAUUCGGAAGAACACCAGUGGCGAAGGCGACUUACUGGUCCAUGACUGACGCUGAGGCUCGAAAGCGUGGGGAGCAAACAGG